AAGUCGUAACAAGGUUUCCGUAGGUGAACCUGCGGAAGGAUCAUUAACACGUAUCCAACGUUAAACCCCCCGUGAACCUUCAUUGUGCUCCCCCAUUCCGUUAGGACGCGGCAAUCCCUGGUAAAUCAUCGCCGAACAGUUUUGAUUCAGGGACCUCUGCAUGCUGGCAUUCGAAAGAAUGGCGCAGUAACGAUCGCUAGAGGCCGACACGGCCGGCGACCGGGUCACUGGGCUCACGCCCCCCUAUCACCUUUGCAUGAAAACGGGCCUGCGCUUAAUUGUGCGGCCACCAAACUCGAACAACUGUUAACAAUGGAUAUCUUGGUUCUU
rnacentral:misc_RNA from 1 species